rnacentral:rRNA from 1 species
UACGUAGGGUGCGAGCGUUGUCCGGAAUUAUUGGGCGUAAAGGGCUCGUAGGCGGUUUGUCGCGUCGGGAGUGAAAACACCGGGCUUAACUCGGUGCUUGCUUUCGAUACGGGCAGACUAGAGGCAUGCAGGGGAGAACGGAAUUCCUGGUGUAGCGGUGAAAUGCGCAGAUAUCGGGAGGAACACCGGUGGCGAAGGCGGUUCUCUGGGCAUGUCCUGACGCUGAGGAGCGAAAGUGUGGGGAGCGAACAGG